UUUUCUUAAUACAAAAUUCGA
rnacentral:piRNA from 1 species